AUUCUACAUGUGAAGAAACAUUCAUUUGAGGACACCAAGUUAGCGCCUCCUACCGAGCAACGGAAAACCUAAUGAGGAAACUGUAACAAUGAAUACCAGAAACAUCUCCAGUGGUUGGCUUGCCUGUGAAAAGCAUAUGAUAUUAGAGAGAAGAAUGCAUGCACAUGUGAGAGUAAGAGAGAAACAAAGAUGAGGACCCUCUACAGACUCGGCCAUACCGCUACCCCUUCCUCCAGUUUUCCAGCCCAAGGGAUCCCAGCACUUGUGCCUA